GUGACCUAAAAUGAUGAGAGUUUCUCCAUGCUGCGGGAAAGGAACAUGCUGGGUCAGGAAUCAUUAAGACCAGCAGGAGAACUGAAUUCAGCGACAGAGAUUGAAAAGAAAAGAAGAAUCACAAGUGGGAUCUCUUUCAUCUCAUCAAUGAAAAGCAUUUGAAGUCUUCUGAUGUUUCUCCUGAGAAAAAGACCCCAGUAAUCUCUCCUGUAGAGUUUCAAAAGAGAUCUUAACAUCCCAGACUCGAUCAGAUUUGCCUGCUGCAGUCAAAGUUUGCCCACAGACAGAGCAAACUUCACUAACCCGUGUUUGCAGCACCUGGCACAGCCGGACAUCCUCACAAUGUCCAAACUAGUUCAAUAUUCAGCUCAAAAACAGAUCAGACAGUCAAGCAACAGAGUAAAAUGGGACCAUCAGAAAGGAGAACCAAAAUCCAGGACCUUUGAGAAUCAACUAAGUUACACCCACAGACUCGACUGAAAAGAAGCUACGGAUGAGAAAAGUGUUUGAUUUUCUUCGACAGUGUGAAAUCCUGUUCUUUCUCCUGAGAGCUCAGUUUCCGCUCAGAUAGGAUGCACAGAAAUCAAUGAAGGAUCCAGUCAAUGAAACACCAUGAAAAGACUCAAUAUAAGUCCAACUUUGUCACAACCUCUGUGUCCUCCCUUCUUCAAAGAAAAAGUACAAGGACAGGAAAGAAGAGAAUGAAUAAUUAAAGAAUGUCAGAGUCCCCCUGAUGAAGAGUUACGAUCAGCUGCAAACUGACGAAAAGCCCGAUUUCAUCCGCUUUUAUU